UGGUAAUGAUGGAUGGUGCGGGGUGCGAAAUUUAUUGAAAUUAUUUUAUGUGGGAAAUUUGGCGCCCUCCUAUUUUCAUCACUUUACUAUUUGCGCCUAAAUUUACCAUUUGUUUCCUAACUUUACCAAUCUCAUCAGACAUUACAGCCCCAGGUUUCUCUUCUGCCUCUGCAAUCGUCUCCAUCUCUAAUCUCGUUCUCAACUCUGAAGUUGCUCUCUCUCUUUCUCCCUGUAACUACAAACUACAAAAUCUACAAGAAUCUGUCAAUGUUUUCAGCCUCCCCAAUCGCCUCCAUCUCUAUUCUCGUUCUCAACUCUGAACUUGCCCUUUCUCUCUCUCUCUCUCUCCAACUGCAAGCGACAAAUCUACAAGAAUCACCAAAACCCAUAUAUUUCAGUUUAUCUAUCUGUCUGCAAGAAUCAAAAGUUCAAAACCCAUAUCGACAUAUCAUUUCAAGAUUGUUCAAAAAAUCAAAACCCAUAUCUUUCCGUUUCCAUCGCCCGCUGUUCCAGAUUGGGUUCGCCGUUCGCAAGCUUUAGCCGCUGGCCCGCUGUCUCUCAACUCUCAAGCUUGCCCCCGCCCCUCUCUCUCUGCAACUGCUAACUUUUCCAGUUCCAAUUCCACCACAUGAUAUAGUGCGGAGCCCCUCCGUAUGCGAUACAAUUCCCUGUCCAUGUCAAGGAUCUUAAGGUGCAACACUUACAAGAUCUGUAAUACUAAUCUACAAGAGACCUGUAAGUUUUGCAUUUAUCAUGAAAUUUUGUUCUUUAAAUUUUCUUUUUCUUUCUUGUCAGAGACAAAAGAUUGGAUAUGAACUGUCUUCAAUAGUUUCUUGUAAAAAGUUUUUUUUUUUAUUUAUUUUUUAUUUUUAGAAUCAGCUCUCUUUUAUAAUUUUUUCAAGUUUCAGCCUAUAGUUGUUAGAAUCAUUUUGUUUCUCAAGUUGCACGGGUUAUAAAAUUAUUAUAACAAUACAAGUUCAAGAAAAACAAGGAAUUUCAAUUUCAUUUUUUCCCUAUUUCUGAUCCUUAAUCUGCAAACAGGUGACAUUGUAAUUGUAUAUAUAGUUAGUUGCUUGAAGAACAGAAAAACGAAAUUAUUAUUUUUCUAUCAUUGAGACUUUUCAUAAACUUUGUAAAAUAUAUAUAUAUAUAUAUAUAUAUAUAUAUAAUACCCAGUAGCUGAUAUAUUUGGGAGACAACAAUGUAUAUAUUUUCAGGUGCGAUUGGUGGAAUAUUGGUAAUCCAAGAACAGGAAUACAUUGUGAUCAGCACACGACAAGUGUAAAUUUUUCCUCUAAGUGGUACAAUAAUGAUCCUUAUGUGUUAGCAAGUCAAGCAAAGCAAGUGUUUUAUAUGAAAGAUCCAAAAUGUGGUGGUCAAUGGCAUGUUGUACAGAGGGUGGAUCCUAGGAGUUUGUAUCACAUAGAAGAAAAAUUAUCGGAAGAUGAAAGUAUAGAUAUGGAUACUAAUGAAUAUGAAGUCGGAGAUUCAAGAAAUACUAAUGUAACCGUCCAAGACGAUGAUAGAGCUUUUGAAUCAUUGCAUAGAGAAGAUGAUGACCCAGCAUAUGUUAAUGCAACCAUUGUUUGGGCUGAAAAUGCAACAGUUAAUCAUGUAUAUGAGGAUUUCAUUAAUGAUGAUGUAUGUGAGGAUGAAGAUGAUACAUUAAAUGAUUAUUAUGAUGAUGGGGAAGAAGAAGUGUUAUUUAUUGAUGAUGACACUAAUAUAGAGUGAUUGAUUCAAUUUAAUCAUUCUUUAAAAGUUGAAUUCUCAGGUCACAAAAUUUUCCAAAUUGGAUCAACAAUUUUUGGCCUUGCAGACCUCUUCUAUGGGUGCUACUUGUUCCACCUAGUUUCACAUUGAUUGCAAUCUAGCUCCCCUUUUGGAUUCAGAUUUCUUUUGGGAUUUUGAUAUGUCUAUGCGAUUAGCAUUGUGUAAUAUGGGAUUUAUAGCAUUUUAAUAUGUGCUGCAAUUAUCAUUUUAGAUGAUUUGCACAUUUUAAUAUCUAAAUUCUUAAUGGAAUAUGUGUUUUAUCUUC